rnacentral:rRNA from 1 species
UACAGAGGUCUCAAGCGUUGUUCGGAUUCAUUGGGCGUAAAGGGUGCGUAGGUGGCGCCGUAAGUCGGGCGUGAAAUCCCUAGGCUCAACCUAGGAACUGCACUCGAAACUGUUUAUCUUGAGUGCCGGAGAGGAAAGCGGAAUUCCUGGUGUAGCGGUGAAAUGCGUAGAUAUUGGGAGGAACACCAGUGGCGAAGGCGGCUCACUGGACCGGUACUGACGCUGAGGCGCGAAAGCGUGGGGAGCAAACGGGG